UACGGGGGGGGGCAAGCGUUGUUCGGAAUUACUGGGCGUAAAGGGCUCGUAGGCGGCCAACUAAGUCGGAUGUGAAAUCCCCAGGCUUAACCUGGGAACUGCAUCCGAUACUGGAUGGCUUGAAUCCGGGAGAGGGAUGCAGAAUUCCAGGUGUAGCGGUGAAAUGCGUAGAGAUCUGGGGGAACACCGAUGGCGAAGGCAGCCUUCUGGGCCAACACUGACGCUCAUGCACGAAAGCGUGGGGAGCAAACAGG
rnacentral:rRNA from 1 species